CUGGAAGUCAAACAGCCUUGGCUGUAUGGAGAUACAGGCAGAAGGAGAAGAAACUAGGAGGGAAAAAUGAGGACAUCCCUUCUGUCAUGCAUGCUGCCCUCUCUUCUAGUCUUCAAGAGCCAAGAUGGCAUUUCUGUUUGGCUUAGGGAAUGGAAAUAAUGUGGAGUUGUGCGACCAGCUCAAGUUGGCAGAAAUUCAGUGGCCUCCAGAUUCUGACUGUGACUGCUAAGUUUCAUGUUACUCAUUCUCUCUUCCCAGUCAGCAGCACAGGUUCCAGGCUCCUGGAGUAUACAGUAUCCUCUCCUGCCUCCAGCCCUUGGAAGUACUCUUCCCUUGGAUUGCGUAUCUCCCCCCUGCCCUCACUGUCUGCCUUUUGAAGCCUUUCUGGCUCCCCAGGGACAGCUGUAUU
rnacentral:lncRNA from 1 species